rnacentral:misc_RNA from 1 species
AACUUUUGACAACGGAUCACUUGGCUCUCGCUUCGAUGAAGAACGCAGCGAAAUGCGAUAAGUAAUGUGAAUUGCAGAAUUCAGUGAAUCAUCGAAUCUUUGAACGCAUCUUGCGCUCCUUGGUAUUCCGAGGAGCAUGCCUGUUUUAGUGUCAUUCAACUUCUCAACCACAUCAAGUAUGUGGCUUGGACGUGGGGGUUGUGUGCAGGCUUUUUGUUCCACAGAAGGUCGGCUCCUCUGAAAUGUAUUAGUGGUAUCUGGGCUACUGCUUAUAGGUGUGCUAAAUUAGCUAAGCCUUUGGUAAGCUGCAUGAACUGCUUGCACUGCUUAUAAUCACAUGAUUUAAUCUAUCGCGUCGGAUUCCUAAUCGGGUAGGGAUCCCAGCUGACCAUAAGCGUAUGAUCAUGCGAAGACU